rnacentral:rRNA from 1 species
UGCAGUCGAGCGCACUCUUCGGUAGAUGAGCGGCGGACGGGUUAGUAACGCGUGGGAACGUGCCCUUCUCUAAGGAAUAGCCACUGGAAACGGUGAGUAAUACCUUAUACGCCCUUCGGGGGAAAGAUUUAUCGGAGAAGGAUCGGCCCGCGUUAGAUUAGAUAGUUGGUGGGGUAAUGGCCUACCAAGUCUACGAUCUAUAGCUGGUUUUAGAGGAUGAUCAGCAACACUGGGACUGAGACACGGCCCAGACUCCUACGGGAGGCAGCAGUGGGGAAUCUUGGACAAUGGGCGCAAGCCUGAUCCAGCCAUGCCGCGUGAGUGAUGAAGGCCUUAGGGUCGUAAAGCUCUUUCGCCAGAGAUGAUAAUGACAGUAUCUGGUAAAGAAACCCCGGCUAACUCCGUGCCAGCAGCCGCGGUAAUACGGAGGGGGUUAGCGUUGUUCGGAAUUACUGGGCGUAAAGCGCACGUAGGCGGAUCAGAAAGUAUAGGGUGAAAUCCCAGGGCUCAACCCUGGAACUGCCUUGUAAACUCCUGGUCUUGAGUUCGAGAGAGGUGAGUGGAAUUCCGAGUGUAGAGGUGAAAUUCGUAGAUAUUCGGAGGAACACCAGUGGCGAAGGCGGCUCACUGGCUCGAUACUGACGCUGAGGUGCGAAAGUGUGGGGAGCAAACAGGAUUAGAUACCCUGGUAGUCCACACCGUAAACGAUGAAUGCCAGACGUCAGCAAGCAUGCUUGUUGGUGUCACACCUAACGGAUUAAGCAUUCCGCCUGGGGAGUACGGUCGCAAGAUUAAAACUCAAAGGAAUUGACGG